UAUUAUUCCAUUUCCCUUUUUUCCAAUUUCAGGUAUCACUGGAGAAUCUUCUAAGACAACCAUUAUAUCUGGAAGUUCUAACACAGAGGCUACAACUUCCAUUGAAGAGACUGGUACUUCUGGAACUGGAUUCAAAACUGCAGGCAUCACUACAGCUCCAGGAAAGCAAGCAGGCACCUCUGGGGUGGCACCUGGCACAAUAGUUGCCCCUGGAAGUUUCAGCACAGCAGCUACAACUUCUCCUGGAGCAAGUGGAGUGACUGGCACUGGACCCACUGCAGGAGCCACCACUGGAGCGCCAGGAAGUAAGACAGGCACAGCUGGAGUGCCCUCUGCUACAACAGUCGCCCCGGGAAACUCCAACUCAGAGGCUCCAAUUUUCUCUGGAAUCACUGAAGCAGUAACAGUCCCAGGUAAAAAUGGGAAGUUUGUGAAAUAUUUCUAACAAUUCAAAUUGAUUUAAAUAAAUACAAAGUAAUUUCCUAUGGAAAUC
rnacentral:lncRNA from 1 species